AUCGCGGCGAGCGGCCGCAGGGCAGCCGUGACGAGCGACUCCAUCCGGGUCCUGGGCGCCGCUCCGGGUCAGCCUGCAGCAGGCUUCAACAGAUUUGACCAAAAACGUUUGAGGCUUUGACACUGCUGCUACGACCUGCAGAUUUGAGAUUACAUCUAUGGAAGAAGAUUGUAAUUUAACUCACAUUUUUAAAAGAGAAUUGAGUUUUAGAUACCUUUCUUGCUCUGCAUCUUGCUGUCUAUCCAGAGGUGAAGUCUUGAGAACCCCUAAUGGUUGGUAUAAUUUUAAAAAAGUCUGAGGUCACAAUCUUUCUAAGUAACUUGUUGCAUGAGGCAAGGGGAAGCUUUCUCUGUGGUAAAGUGUUAUGUAUAAUAUAGAUGCUGUCUUGCAGCUAACUUGUCUCUGGUAAAACAACAUUUCCUCUACAUCUGAACUAAGAAGAUGCCUGCACUGUGGGAUGAGGUAGUAGGUUGUAUAGUUUUAGGGUCAUACCCACAACUGGGAGAUAACUAUACAAUCUACUGUCUUUCCUAAAGCAGCAGAAAAUCAGCAAUGUCAGAUCUUUCACUUUAAAAGCUUAUUGUCCAGUUCUUCAGAACUUCUCUAGUUCAAAGGGCUUGUGGGCAGAGGAAAUACAUUUCUGUAGCAUAGCAGAGUUGAUAUGUAUGUCUGGAUUUGUUUAUCCCUGGAAAGUCAGAUUCUUUACCAUUCUGAUUUUCAAGUUAGAUUUUUUUAAAAUUCUCUUUAGGGGAGCAGCACAGGUAUGGAAGAAUAGAUUUCAUCCUAACUAUAUAUUGCAUGGGGUCAUUUAAAAACUAAAGUUGAAUUUCUAAUUAAGCAAAAUACUAGUGGUGGUAAUUGGUGCCAUAAGAUAAAACUUGUUCAGAGUUGAAUAGCUGUGCAGCUAAGCUAUAUUUCCUGAAACUAGGACUGUUGCAUACAAAUUUCUCUAGCGGAGUGAGGUAGUAGAUUGUAUAGUUGUAGGGUAGUUAUUUUACCCUGUUCAGGAGAUAACUAUACAAUCUAUUGCCUUCCCCGAGGAGUAAAAAAAAUCUGCAGUUCCUUUGCAUGCUAGUUGAGCAUCCUGAGUUUACAGUUGGUGAGUGGACUUUCACUCAAGCCUGUAAAAUAUCAGGUGAUUGAGUGGCUGGAUUUACAGCACUAAAUGCUAAUGUGGCACACACUAACAUUGCAUUUGGCUACUAUGCUGAAUUUUUUUCAAAGGUGAGUGAUAUAUUGCUGAUUUUAUAUACAAAUGGUCUUUCAAAUGUGUUCUGUUGCAUUACUAAUCUUGACUUAAAUUGGUCAGACAGCUACACAAGUUUUGAAAUUCAUGGCUGCCCUGACAGCAUGUAGCCCAAGUAGCCAGUAAACUGAUUUGGGAGAAAAUGGCUUCAGCAGUACUAUCUUGUGUAAACACUUCUGUCUCCCUCCACUUCUCCUCCCCCCCAAUGCUAGGAAGGGAAAUUAAGUUAGUGGUUCUCCACUUUUUCUUUGCACCUUACCAAAUGGGAGGGUAAUCCCAAACAGUGUAGGAUGGCUAUGAUCCCCUGAUGCCUGUUUUAAGCUUCCUGGGGGGGUUAUGAGCCCCAGAAGGUUUUCUUUACCCAAUAAAUCUGAGCUGGUUACAUUUUAUUUAUUUUUUUAAAUGGCAUAGGCUCAAACUUGUUUUCUCACUGCCUACAAUGGUUAAACCCUGACUAGUUUAUUGUGUGGGAGAAGGAGCUACCUGAUAAGUGAUAAUUUUAGGGGCUGUUCUGACUGAACAAGUGGU